rnacentral:rRNA from 1 species
CGCCAGACUCCUACGGGAGGCAGCAGUGGGGGAUAUUGGACAAUGGGGGGAACCCUGAUCCAGCGACGCCGCGUGAGUGAAGAAGUAUUUCGGUAUGUAAAGCUCUGUCAGCAGGGAAGAAAGAAAUGACGGUACCUGACCAAGAAGCCCCGGUUAACUACGUGCCAGCAGCCGCGGUAAUACGGAGGAUGCGAGCGUUAUCCGGAUUUAUUGGGUUUAAAGGGUGCGUAGGCGGACGCUUAAGUCAGCGGUAAAAUGGCGGGGCUCAACCUCGUCGAGCCGUUGAAACUGGGUGCCUUGAGUGGGCGAGAAGUACGCGGAAUGCGUGGUGUAGCGGUGAAAUGCAUAGAUAUCACGCAGAACUCCGAUUGCGAAGGCAGCAUACCGGCGCCCAACUGACGCUGAAGUACGAAAGCGUGGGUAUCGAACAGGAUUAGAUACCCUCGUAU